AAACCUUCCUGGACACUCCCCAAACCAAGACCUAUAGGGUGUAUAAAAACGUCUUUCAUAUCUCAAUCUUAGGGUGAUUGAGAAAUAGUAAAACCA
rnacentral:ncRNA from 1 species